GAUUUGAAGGCGGCCGGAGCAGAGGGCGCGUGGCUGUUCCGCAGAGGAUCAUAUCUGCUGCAGUCCUGAUAUGAUGAACAGUUAAACUGCUGAUUUGUUUUGAUACACUCGGUCUGUUUCACCUGGAACAUUACUGUUCAGAUUGGUUAGGUUGAGGUCUAUCACAAAUAUCCUACUUAAAUAAUGAGUAGAAGACUUUUCUCAGAGUAUCUAUUUGAUCUACAAGAGCUUUAAUGUACUCCCCCAGACCACAACUCUGGAUGGAGUUUGAACCACGGUCUUUGCCUGUUGCCAUUUGCUCUGAAUCAGUGUGUUUCUUUCCGUUUCCCUAAUCACAGCCUCUGACAGAAAAAUGAAGACCUCAAAGCUUUCAUAGAUAUCAUGUGGACAUAUGGAACAAGUAGCUUGAUCUGCUCGUUGUUCAAAAUAACCAGAAGCUGUGUGACCACAAGAGCAACAUCAAAUUUUGACAGUCUCCAUUGUUUAUCCAGAAUCUAUGUCAGGUUCCUUUCAAAAUUAUGCACUAUCACCUGUGGAAGUAUUUGGUGAGUUUAACAGAUUUUCCUGUGGUUCCUGAAAGGUGGAUGUAUUGCUAAACUGAAAACGUUCAAUAACAGCACAGCUAUCCUUUUGGUUAACAGUGUCUGCCACACCCAGCGAUCUGAUUUGGAUGGAUUCUCAUGUUCAAUGCUAUCAAGUGUGUUCAUCUUGCAGCACAUGUCCUUUGUACCUCAGUAUUGCUAAUCAGAUCACAGAGGGAGAAACAGCUGUCCUAGAAGUUCUUAUAUGAAGGGGACAACACUGAUUGUGGGCAAUUCCUCAAUUUUGGAAUGUGGUGCUUUCCACGAUUACCGUAUUCCUGUCUGAAAUCCUGACACAAGAAAACUGCAGCCAGCCUCUCCCCAAAGAAGCACCUGAACAGACAGCACGUCUCUGUCACUCUCACCUG